UAUGCAGUGAAUUUAAAUGCAAUAAUCAGCCAUUCUUUAAAGAAAAUAGGGAUAAGAUAAGAGACAAGGCAUCGUUAAUCCCUAUUACGAGAAUAUGAGGACAUAAUUACAGAAAAUAAUGGAAGAGUGAGACGAUCUGCACCAGCUUCCUAGAUCCAUCACUGCAAUGCAUUCAGCCCAGCAGUCAAGAGAUCCAGGCUUGAAGUAUAAAUGAAUACAAAAUGCAUCCAUUUCUCCACAGGCUAUUCCUAAAGAAUUGGACCAAUGGAAUCAUUCAUGAUCAGGCAGCAAGUUAAUCCAUCAUGUAAGGAAAAUGGUAUGCUCCAUAUUAGCUAUAAACCAAAUUACCAUGCAAUAUUCCUG